UGCCAUGCUUGAAAGAGUGGAUUACAUUCCUCAUUUCAUAGAACCUAAGAUCAGAGAAGUCAAGUGACUUGUCCAAGGUCACAAAGCAAAUAAGAAGCAGAGCCAGGCUUCAAGUCUAGAUGAUCUCAUACAAGUGGCUAAGACACGUUAUGCCUACGGUGUGCCAGGCACUGUUCCGCAGGGACUAAAGUAUCUCAUCCCCACAGCAGCCCUCUGUGGGAAUUGCUGGUGGGACUCUCAUUGGACAGGUGAGGAAACUGAGGCACACAGAUGUAAAGCCAAGUCACCCAGCAAGUAGGUGCUAGAGCUGGGAUUUGAACUGACAGCCUGGCCUCCAGUCCAAGGUCUGACCAUGAUACCAUGCUGCCCCUCUGUGGGGCAGUUAAGUGCUUAACUCCUGGCACUUGGGAGGGAGGCUGGGGACGCCCAGUUCCAGGAGCUACCGGGCGUGUGGGGACAUUGAUCCUCCAGGAGAACCACUUUUGCUGGCCUCAGGGGUGCCCUCCCUUUCCCUGAACUGGAGCCAUUAGUGGGAAGGAGUGGAGUCAUUUGCCAUCUUUUUGCUGGGAGACCUUGGACAAGUCAUCUUCUUUUUGAGUCUCCAUCCACAGGCAGGGGGCAGUUGGACGAAGUGAUCUCUUGUUGUCUUCCAGCUCAGAAAUGUUGGGCUGUGUCAGGAGCAGGCCCCAGCUUCAAGGCUCUCCACUAGCUUCUACCAGCUCAAAUAUUUGUCUGGGACCCCUUAGAGACAUAGGGAAAAACUAAGGAGGGACAGGCCCAGGACUCUCUGAAGGUGCCCGCAGGGCAGAGAAUACUGGGCUGGGAGUCAGGACCCAUUGCUUCCAGUUUCAGGUCUGCUGCUACCUUGGCUGUGUGACUUUGGGUGCGGCUCGUGAUUGCAGAGAAGGGCCUGGUGUGUGAGGAGCGGGACGUGAGCCUGCCGCAGAGCGAGCACAAGGAGCCCUGGUUCAUGCGGCUCAACCUGGGGGAGGAGGUGCCCGUCAUCAUCCACCGGGACAAUAUCAUCAGCGACUACGACCAGAUCAUCGACUACGUGGAGCGAACCUUUACAGGAGAGCACGUGGUGGCCCUGAUGCCUGAGGCGGGCAGCCCUCAGCACGCAAGGGUGCUGCAGUACCGGGAGCUGCUGGGCGCGCUGCCCAUGGACGCCUACACGCACGGCUGCAUCCUGCACCCUGAGCUCACCACUGACUCCAUGAUCCCCAAGUACGCCACGGCCGAGAUCCGCAGACAUUUAGCCAACGCCACCACAGACCUCAUGAAAUUGGACCAUGAAGAGGAGCCCCAGCUCUCUGAGCCCUACCUUUCCAAACAGAAGAAGCUCAUGGCCAAGAUCCUGGAGCACGAUGAUGUGAGCUACCUGAAGAAGAUCCUUGGGGAGCUGGCCAUGGUGCUGGACCAGAUAGAGGCGGAGCUGGAGAAGAGGAAGCUGGAAAACGAGGGGCAAAAGUGUGAACCAUGGCUCUGCGGCUGUGCCUUCACCCUCGCCGACGUUCUCCUGGGAGCUACCCUGCACCGCCUCAAGUUCCUGGGACUGUCCAAGAAGUACUGGGAAGACGGCAGCCGGCCCAACCUGCAGUCCUUCUUUGAGAGGGUCCAGAAGCGCUUGGCCUUCCGGAAGGUCCUCGGCGACAUCCACACCACUCUGCUGUCGGCUGUCAUCCCCAAUGCGUUCCGGCUGGUCAAGCGGAAACCCCCAUCUUUCUUUGGGGCGUCCUUCCUCAUGGGCUCCCUGGGUGGGAUGGGCUACUUUGCCUACUGGUACCUCAAGAAAAAAUACAUCUAGAGCCAGGCCUGGGCUUGGUACCUGUUGGUGUCUCUGUCCUGUGUGACCCCCAGCAAGCUCUCAGUAACGCACUGUCUCAUGAACUUGGACAGCCACUCCCUGCCCUGUUUGGAGUAAUUCUAUCGUCAAUGUGAAAACAUUCCAUAGUUUAGAGGUAGACGUUGCCAAUGCCGUGAGUUGAGGCCACAGCUCUACUAAAGGAGAGAAAGAGUGAGUGUGAGAGAGAGAGAGGGAGAGAGAGAACAGAAACAAAACACGAAUACCUUUUCUUUUGAUUCAAGGUCUCAAGAUGGAACUGGGGGGACUGGUUAGGAUCUGAGGGAACUCUUCCACAGGACAAAGCCAACAUCAACACUGACUCUUCUAAG